ensembl:lncRNA
GUCCAGCUUGAUGAAUGUGUCAGGCGGCCCUGCCGGCUGGAACCGCUGCGUUUCAGGCCACGCCAUGUCAUCCCGAGCUAUAAAAGCCGUUUGGAAAAUGAGCAAGGCAAGCCGCUGGGGACCCCGCUGAGCCAGCUGCCUGGACUGUCCGAUGUCCACCUUCACGGGGCGGACGCAGCCGGCCAGACGGAAGAGCGUCAGCGCUGUCGCUCAGUCUCCCCUUUCACAGAUAAAGACGGAGACCAAGCGGUGGUCACGCGGCCAAGGCCUCGCAGGUGGAAGUGGAAACGCCAAGACUGCAGCCCAAGCAAGCGCCUCCAGCCCUUUCUUCCUUGUCUGUCGACAGACCCAGCCCUGGGAUCUGGCUCCAGGCAGCGCUGAGAGCCCCCGGCCCUGCCAGGGGUGGAAAACAGAGCGGCCCACCAGAGGGGAGAGGCCUCUGGCAAGGCUGUGGGGCCAGCAGACACGCUCCCCGGCAGAAUGAGAGGUGGAGCUGGCUCCGGCCCCUGCUGUCUCUCCAGGGCCUGGGCUCCCAGGCUCUCAGUGAUGCCAGCCAUCCUGCCCGGCCCCUCCCCGGGGUGACGCAUGAAAGGGCUUCUGAAACUGAAGGGAACCCUGGCAGCGGGGGACGGUGUGGCUUUAGGGUGACGCCGCCCCUAAAACCGUCCUGUCUCUUCGCCCCUCCCUGGUGAGGCGCGCCAGGAAGUCACCUGAUCAGGUCACCGCCCAGCAAGCCCACCCCCUCCCGUCUCAGCUUCCGGUUGUGCAGCCCUUAGAACAGCUCAGCUGCGGGCCUUCUCUUUCCUUCAGCUUGGAAUCUAGUUGAUUUGCAGUGUUGUGCUAACGUCUGGUGUGCGGCAGAGUGGUUCAGCUGCACGCACACACGUACUUUUUCACGCCGUGUUCUCACGGGACGUCUAAUGCAGCUCCUGCACUGCACGGUGGGCCCUUGUCUGUUUGCCCGCGCGCUCUCUCUUUCUGUCCCUCUGGUUCCUGGCUGUGCUGGGCCUCUCUCUAGUCGGGGGCCCAGGCCCCUCAGUGCCGUGGCUUCCCUUGUGGAGCUCAGGCUUCGGUGGCUGUGGCUCGCGGGCUUAGCUGCUCCACGGCAGGUGGGAUCUUCCCAGAUGAGGGAUCGAGCCCGUGUCCCCUGCGUUGCCAAGUGGAUUCUUAAUCACUAGACCACCAGGGAAGACCCCCUCCUUCAUUUUCUUAAAUUCCUCCUCUUCCUGACGCAUAAUGAGUUAUGUGCUCAGUCAUGUUCGGCUCUCUGUGACCCCAGGGACUGGGACCAUGACCCCACCAGGACUGUGACCCCGCCAGGCUCCUCUGUCCGUGGGAUUCUCCAGGCAAGAACACUGGAGUGGGCUGCCAUGUCCUUCUCCAGGCGAUCUUCCCAACCCAGGGAUCGAACCCAGGUCUCCUGUGUCUGCUGCGUUUCAGGCGGACUCUUUACUCGCUGAGCCGUUGGGGAAGCCCAGUCUUCCUAUUAAUGAUGACCCCGUCUGUUAAUUAGGACCCUUCUUAAUUUCUUAUCUUGCUCUCUCUACAGGGCUCUCACUUGGGCCCCGACCAGGCAUAGAAUUUCAGCCUCAGCAGUAAAAGCGCCAAGGCCUAACAACCGGCCCGCCGGGAACGCCUCACUUACACUCAGAGGCCGGAACCAGAAGGGCUGUCUUUGGAAUGGGCGGCAGUCGCUCGCUUGGAUCUGUGGGUUUGAGUCUCAAGCAGAGGCAGCAUCUUGGAAGAUAAUCUCUCCUGUGUGCAGCCAGCAGUGACACCAGGCUGGAUGCUGCCGGAGCCCAGCCUCUACCCUGGGCUGUGCUGUUCCUGGGGAGUGGACUGCACGGGCCGGCUCGCCUUCAGUGUGGGCCGAGGGCCUGCUGUGUGCGGGUCCCGCCUCAGAGCAGCACUGCCACCAGCCUGGCCGGAUAGGAUGGCACCUCCCUAUCAUGGCCUCAGAUGGGGUCUCUCCCUGGACCCCCAACUGCCAGGACCGAGGUGGGGCCACAAGCCGUGGCUUCCUCUCUUCACUCGGCAGCUCAGGCGGUAGGAGCAGCUUGUGCAAAGGCCCUGGGGUAGGAGUGCAGUCCGCUCCUCUGGGCAGAGUGGAGGAGAGGAUGGCUGCAGGCCACCUGCUCUCAGGGUGCCUGUGAGACGCGCCCCGGGGCUGCAGGCAUGACCUCUGUGACAGGCACGAGGGGAGCUACAGCUCGAGGCUCAGGCCGCUCAGCUGACAGCUCCUAAUGCGGUGGCUGGGACUCUGCGAUUCUGAAACCCACAUCCCUGAUGCCAUCCCUCACCGCCCUUCAACCCUGAGACCUGGUCCUCUUCUCAGAAUUUGCCUCAGUGGUGUCAGGCCUGGGCUCUGGGCAGCCCUCCUGGACCCCAGGCAUCCUCACUGCAAAACAGAGGGAUGGGUGUGGGCUCCGUGAACGAGCCUGUGGACAUACUCCACAGACACACGCCGCGGACAUGGCCCUUGACUGCACAGCACACGCAGGCACCGUGGCUCUGCACCCACGGGCGUUCAGGCUGGGACCCUGAUGGACAUUUCUAAAAUUCCAAUUGCUGCCCAUUUAUCUCAGUGCAUAUGAGAAAUAACGUACCUGUGUGUGUAACUAGCAACUCAAUCCAUGCUUUCAGUAAUAAAUGAUAGUUUCCUUUUCAAAAUGAUCAUUUCAGUUUAAAAUAGGUGCUUAUUUAAAGAGACAUUUAAUCAGGCAUUACACGUGCCUGUGUGUGUGGUCAGUCGCUCUCUGCUAAGUCGCUUCAGUCGUGUCUGACUCUGUGUGACCCCAUAGACGGCAGCCCACCAGGCUCCCCCGUCCCUGGGAUUCUCCAGGCGAG